CUGCAGCUGCAAUUUUUUUCUCCUAGUUUACAGAUUCUGGUGGCUUCUAGCAAUGACCAUGCUGCACACAGGGCUGUCCUUCCCCCACAUACUUAAGUGUGCAGCCUGAAUGUACAGCCACUGGUAGGUACAAGCAGGGGUUAGGCCUCAGGUGCAAGUUCAAGGACACACCCGUGUGGCAGUGGUGAGCACUCUGACUUAGCGAUGAUCUUCAGUCUCUCAAGGUCACAGUCCUUGAGAAAUUCCUGACCACGUAAAUGAAGUUGUUGGUUUCCAUUGGCUGUUAAUGAGUCAAAGAGCAGCUCAGCACACUGACAAAGGCAUCCAUUUAUUGUCAUCCGCAGGUGUACUGAGCCACAGUGCAGAAACAGGGCAUGGAGUCCAGUACACUGCUGUGAGAUCACAGUUCCACUGGUGAACUGAUGGUAUGUGCUCAGGAAAAUAGCUCUGCUGUUUGCCCUCUGCAACUGCCAUCAGCAAGCUGUUCCCUCUGAUUUCCAGAGUAAACUUAUU